rnacentral:rRNA from 1 species
AUUGAACGCUGGCGGAAUGCUUUACACAUGCAAGUCGAACGGCAGCACGGGGCAACCUGGUGGCGAGUGGCGAACGGGUGAGUAAUACAUCGGAACGUGCCCAAUCGUGGGGGAUAACGUAGCGAAAGUUACGCUAAUACCGCAUACGAUCUACGGAUGAAAGCGGGGGAUCGCAAGACCUCGCGCGAAUGGAGCGGCCGAUGUCAGAUUAGGUAGUUGGUGGGGUAAAGGCUCACCAAGCCAACGAUCUGUAGCUGGUCUGAGAGGACGACCAGCCACACUGGAACUGAGACACGGUCCAGACUCCUACGGGAGGCAGCAGUGGGGAAUCUUGCGCAAUGGACGAAAGUCUGACGCAGCGACGCCGCGUGGGUGAAGAAGGCCUGGUGUAAGCCUGUCGAGUGGGAAAAUAGGG